rnacentral:tRNA from 1 species
GGGGAGAUAGCUCAGCAGUAGAGCACAGGCCUUGCAUGCCUGUGGCCCCGGGUUCAAUCUCGAGUCAACGUA